rnacentral:lncRNA from 1 species
GGUGUUCAAAAGCUUGAUAGAAUAUCAAGGUGUCACGUCUUCAAGCAGCGCUGGGAAGUACCUUCACGCAUAUCGCCCUACCUUUGCAUAAGCGUUAUAAACUUAUUUUUAGGAUGGAAUAUGCGUUAUACACUUUUGCCCGUUUUCCUCAUUUAUGGAUUUGGCAUAUUAGGAUAAUUACCAACUAUAGUUUAGCCUGUGCUUGUAUAAGUCUGAAUUUCAUACUCACAAGGCAACAAGAUUUGAAUUGUAAUGAGACUGUACGUUUGUGGUUAUGAUUACAGUUUAUAUGAGUAUUUUUUCUUGAGUAUGAACAAACUCAAACUUAGUGUGUUAUUCAUUUCAAAGUCUAAGUGCGAACAUAUUAUUAAGGAUUAAAUUCAUUUUACCUCUCAUGAGAUUCGGAGUUAACAUUAUUUCAGUCCCCGUUCUCUCAAUUUUAAAAAUUUACCCCUAAAGUUUCCAAUUUUCAUAAAUUAAGGCAAAUUGGUUAAAUUCCGUCUAAUUUUAACGUUGAUUUUGACUUUACAACUCACUUUAAAUGCUAAAAUAAUCAUAUAACAACAAAAAUCGCCUUUUGAUACCGUUUUGUUAAAAUUCAUGUUAGUAUUUAAAGUCUAAAUUAGAUAAAAUUUUAGCAAUUAGGCAUGAUUUAUGAAAAUUGAAAACUUUAAGAGAUAAAUUUUUAAAAUUAAAAAUAUGAGAACCGUAAUGAUUUUAACCCCAAACAUUAAACUAAAAUUAAUCAUAUUAUUAACUAGCAUAACUACAACACAAUCGAGUAUUUGUUCAGAGAUGAAUCGACCCAAUUUUAUAGUUACAAGAUUAUGCAAUAAGACAUCAAGAUAUCCAAAGACUAGGCCUCAGAAGGUAUCUUAAAGACUUUAUAAAAUUAAUUUCUAAUCCUCCGUCGUAUGUAAAAUACUUCAAUCAUUCAUUGCGUCAGAUGAUCAUUUUAAUAGUUUUGUAAUUUGAACACCCGUGUUAUGUGUUUUAAAACCUGAACGCUCAACUGCUAAACCACUUGCAGCCGUUUGGACUCUAACAAUUAGUUUACUCUUUUUUACUUUUUUAUUUUUCCCAGGUAAUAACUCAAGUCUUUUUUUUUUUGGUCAAUGUAAUAACUGAAGUCCAUCUACCUAAACAGGCUUAAAUGAUUGGUUGAUUUUUCUUUUGCGUGGGUUAUUAAAGUUUUGGCCCAGAUUAAAAUGGACUUGGAUAUAUAAGCUACUAUUUGCAACCACGUGGAUAACAUAUUAACGAGUAGCCACAAAUGCUGGGUGGCGGGUCCCAUUUGGGAGAGCACAUGCUUAAUGAUAAUGUACACGACAAGCCAUAUCUGUACAAACUGAACUAUCAACCACACUCGAUCACUCGCGCGUCCUUUAUCUCAUACUUGUAACAAAAUUUUACUCUAGUAAUAACUCACAAAGUUACUUUGUGAACCUCAAGGCCGGACCUAAAAUUUUGAGACUCGAGGCGAGUGGCAAAAAUGGUGCCCUCUCUAACGGUAGUGCGAGAAAAAAAAAUCAACGAAGAGUAUACAACAUUGUGUCACACAACUUUCCACUUAAAUUAGGUGGAGUUACUGGACUGCCGACCAUCAAGUGAGUCCAUCUAUUCGAUUUCGUUAACAUCUUAAUCAAACACAGAUAAUUAGGAAAAAACUAGAUUGCAAAAGAAAUUAAGCUUGCACUAGGAAAAAGAAGAGAUGAAUGUGUAUGUAUGUGAUUGAGCUAAAUGCAACUGUACUAUCUUCAAUUCCUCGCAAUACUAUCAUGUGCAUGGUCUGUGGUUGAGCACAUUUUGGUACCCUCAAAAUUUGGGGCUUGAGACUGUUGCCUCUUUAGGCCAUCUCCAGUAAUAGAGGCUAUAGAGUCAAAUCCUAAAUUUUGGCCUUAUUUUGAUCUCCAACAAGAACUCAGAAGAGGGCCAAAGGGAAGUGCCAUCAAAAGGGCCAAACAUAGCCCUUUGGCUAGCCCGGGCCAAACCAAAUUGUGGUCUCAAAUGAAAUUAAAAAAACUAAAAGUAUGUAUGUUGGUUGAUUGAUGAAUACUCAAAUUAUAACAAUUGUCAACUUUCUAUUGGAUUAUUUCAUUCUCAUCUCAUUACAACCGGUAAAUUCUCUUAAUCCAAAAUUCAUAUGGCUAAUAUCUUAUUUUAUUAAUAUAAUAGUUAAUUUAAAUAUUAUUAAUUUGGUCCAAAUUCAAAUAAUGUUAUAAUAAAAUAAAUCUAUAAGUGAGAAAUUAUAUGGUACUUACCCAUAUGUGAUACAAUGUGACAAUAUAUUUGUAUUUAAAGUGAAAAAUAUUAAAAAGUAUAAUAUGAAAUCAUAAAAUAUUCAAAAGAGCUAAAAUUUGGCCUCUCUUAUUAGAGAUCAUUUAGAAGUCUAUAAAUAAAAAAUAAUAUUUUUGAGAACUAAAUUAUAGCCUUGGCCCCAAUAUAGUCCUCUCCUGCUGGAGAUGGCCUUAGACUAGGGAUGGCAAUGGGUAGGGUAGGGUACGGGGAUCAAAAUACCGUACCCAUACCUUUUUACAUUUUUCAUCCCCGUACCCGUCCCCGUACCCGUAAUUAGAUAAUGGAGAUUCCCCGUACCCGUACCCUUUGGGGAUUACGUUUCCAUACCCGUACCCUACCCGUUAACAAUUAUGUAUUAAAUUAAAUUUUUUUUUUUUAAAUACGAAAUACAAUUAUAUAAAAGUAUGAAAUUAAAAUCAAAUACCAAAAUAAAUAAGUUUCAUACUUCAAUCCAAUAAAAAUAAAUAUAAGUCUUGGUUAAAACAUAACAAUACCGGUAAAUUUCAUUAAGAGAAUAAAAAUAUAUAAUAAAAAGGAAGGUCCAUUAAAUGUUUAUUAAGAGAAUUACAAAUUUUUUUACAUAAAUAUUUAUUUAUAAAUUAUAUAUAAAUAUAUAUAAUAAUAAAUUAUAUAAUUAUAUAUAAUAAUAUUUUCAUCCUUAAUGGGUGGGGAUGGGGACGAAUAUCAAAAUACCAUACCCGCCCCGUACCCGAUUUAAGAAUCCGAAUACUAAGGAUCCCCAUCCCCGUUACCCGUUUAUACCCGUAUAUCUUCCCCGUUAGGGUCGAAUACCCGUGGGUACCCUACCCGCUGGGGAUUAUUGCCAUCCCUACCUUAGACUCACCUUAGGUCUGGGCCUGAUGAACCUCGCAUGGUAAAAAAAACGAGUUGAUCAAAGAAUCUCAAUCUACUCCCAUUUCCAUAUAGGAAAAUGACCUAGAGGAAGGUCUCAGGCAACAUACCAUUAGGUUUUAGUUUUUGAAUCAAAUGUAUUCGCUACAUUAGCCCCGUAACGCAUAAAUCACAUGUAAUUGGACAUCUAUUUUAACUGCAUUGUCGUUUGUUCUCUAGCCCUUCUCAACUUCUUUAUUCGAGUAAGUCAUCUCGAGAUCAUCCUCUCGAUGCUAUGCUAGUAUGCUACGAGUGUGAAAUCGUCCACAUCAAAUUGAGUAAUAUUAUGACAAAUCCCUAGUUCCUAGGGUAAAUGUUUGUGACGUCGUGCCCUAGUUAAACGUCCAUGCAACUUGAACAUGCACAAAAUGUUAGGCAGAAUUUGGGGAUUUCAUAAUCCAAUUCAAUUUACCACCACACAUCCUACAACCCCAAUAGUAAAUGUGAAAAAAAAAAUGUAACUUUACCGUUUCAGGCGUUACAAGCCAGAGGAAGGUGGUCUGACGCAGCUUCCAGCAAGGUUCCGGCAAACCGGACGGACGUUACGAAAGCGAAAGGGGGAAACGGUUAGAGAUGACGCAGUUCACGUGGGUUCGGGGCCGUUGGAUUUAGGCCACCCUGUUCGGGAGACACGUGGCACGUCAAAGCUAUUACUUGUACGUACGUUACUUCUUUCUUUUGGGAGGGAGUUAUGAUUAAGCAUGGGGUUCCAUUACUCCAGAGUCCAGAAGAAGCCGAGAGCUGCUUUCACGCUUUGUGCGUGCGAACGAAGCAGAAGCAGAAGCAGAAGCGGGAGGAAAGGAGAGGUCAAGUGCUUAAUUGAGGACCACAACACUAUAAAUUGUGGUGGUUUCUGGCUUGUGGUGGUCUCAUAAAUUUUUGAAUGGAGAAAAGAGCAAGUGCUUUAAUUUCCGCUGUAGAAGUGAGUUUGGAGUAAGCAAUUUGUUAGUGUGGUUGGGAAAGGAGACGUUGUAGAGCACAGUUUAGGAAGGCGGACUAAUUGCUCUGUUGUAUCUGCUGCGUUUCUCUUUUCUCGUACUAAAUGCAUGAACAGUUUAUGACUCCAUGGUUAAGUCUAGGGCUGGGCACUUAGUAUCGGAAUCCCGAUCCCGUACCGGUCUUGUCCCGAAAGUUAGCGGGACGGGACGAGAUAGGUUUUAAAAAUAGCAAUCCCGUCCCGUCCCGUCCCGUUUUAACAUUACCAUAACGGGACGGGACGGGACGGGACGGGACGAGACUAUCCCGAAAAUCUCGUCCCGUCCCGUAAUAUUAGAAUACUUGAUUUUAUUCAUUUUAUACUUGAUUUUUUAGGUUGCAUGGUGUUACAAUGCACUCAACCACACUUAAUUUGGUCUAAAAUAAUACUUUUAAUUUCAUUUCAUGUUCUUUUUU